AUGUCUUUGUCUCUUUCAUCGCGAGAAACUGCAUGCCUUCCCUCACCAAAUUCUGCAGUCGGCUGCUUGCUCAAGGUUGCGCAAACACCAGAGAUUUGCUGUUCAGAAAGGGAAUCAACGAUGCCGAGGAGAGCCCAGGUGCCCUCUCUGCCCUGGGAACAGACAGUCAACUAUUCUUCACAGGUCGCUCGCUUCAAAGAGGCAUGUCCAUCCAGUCCCCAUUCUAAUCAGUACAUGCGGUCUACACAUGCUGACCACAUCUGUGAAUGCCUGAUCGUCGGCCUGCUGGUCACUAUCAAUCGCCCUUCUAGUCGACGUCAUCAUAGCUCCGGCCUCCGUCUUUCUUUGAUGCUGGCAAUUGUGAAAUCAAAUAAGUGA
rnacentral:rRNA from 1 species